rnacentral:rRNA from 1 species
GAAUAAGCAUCGGCUAACUCCGUGCCAGCAGCCGCGGUAAUACGGAGGAUGCGAGCGUUAUCCGGAUUUAUUGGGUUUAAAGGGUGCGUAGGCUGACGUGUAAGUCAGUGGUGAAAGACCCCGGCUUAACCGGGGGGUUGCCAUUGAAACUGUAUGUCUUGAGUGUAAUCGAAGUGGGCGGAAUGAGGGGUGUAGCGGUGAAAUGCAUAGAUAUUCCUCAGAACACCGAUAGCGAAGGCAGCUCACUAGCUUACAACUGACGCUGAGGCACGAAAGCGUGGGUAUCAAACAGGAUUAGAUACCCUGGUAGUCCACGCUGUAAACGAUGAUCACUAGCUGUUUGCGAUACACAGUAAGCGGCUAAGCGAAAGCGAUAAGUGAUCCACCUGGGGAGUACGUCGGCAACGAUGAAACUCAAAGGAAUUGACGGGGGCCCGCACAAGCGGAGGAGCAUGUGGUUUAAUUCGAUGAUACGCGAGGAACCUUACCUGGGCUUGAACGUAUGGUGCAUGGGUGUGAAAGCAUCCUUUCUUCGGAC